AUGACCCGGGAAUGAGGCACGAUGCAGGUCGGGUAUGUACAAUGUCUUUAAUCCCCUGCUUGUUUGCUUUGCUCAUGCUGCUAAUAUCCACAAAUUGAAAUAAAAGGGGAGGGGGGGAGCAGGUGAGCGCCUCAGGGGGGGCGAGGUAACAGAGG